rnacentral:rRNA from 1 species
GACGAACCGUGCGAACGUUGUUCGGAAUCACUGGGGCUUAAAGGGCGCGUAGGCGGCUGACCGAGUCCGGGGGUGAAAUCCUCCCGCCCAACGGGAGAAGUGCCUUGGAUACUGGUCAGCUCGAGCGGGGUAGGGGCAUGUGGAACUUCCGGUGGAGCCGGUGAAAUGCGUAGAUAUCGAGAGGAACACCUGCGGCGAAGGCGGGUUGCUGGGCUGACACUGACGCUGAAGUGCGAAAGCUAGGGGAGCGAACGGG